GAUGAACGCUAGCGGCAGGCUUAAUACAUGCAAGUCGUGGGGCAGCAUGAGUAGCAAUACUUGAUGGCGACCGGCAAACGGGUGAGGAACACGUACACAACCUUCCUUCAAGCGGGGAAUAGCCCAGAGAAAUUUGGAUUAAUACCCCAUAAUAUAUUUGAUAAGGCAUCUUAUUUAUAUUAAAGCUUCGGCACUUGAUGAUGGGUGUGCGGCUGAUUAGAUAGUUGGCGGGGUAACGGCCCACCAAGUCUACGAUCAGUAGCUGAUGUGAGAGCAUGAUCAGCCACACGGGCACUGAAACACGGGCCCGACUCCUACGGGAGGCAGCAGUAAGGAAUAUUGGACAAUGGACGAAAGUCUGAUCCAGCCAUGCCGCGUGAAGGAUUAAGGUCCUCUGGAUUGUAAACUUCUUUUAUAUGGACGAAAAAAGGCAUUCUUGUUCACUUGACGGUACCAUAUGAAUAAGCACCGGCUAACUCCGUCGCCAGCAGCC
rnacentral:rRNA from 1 species